rnacentral:rRNA from 1 species
GAUGAACGCUGGCGGCGUGCCUAAUACGUGCAAGUCGAGCGAACAGACGAGGAGCUUGCUCCUCUGACGUUAGCGGCGGACGGGUGAGUAACACGUGGAUAACCUACCUAUAAGACUGGGAUAACUUCGGGAAACCGGAGCUAAUACCGGAUAAUAUAUUGAACCGCAUGGUUCAAUAGUGAAAGACGGUUUUGCUGUCACUUAUAGAUGGAUCCGCGCCGCAUUAGCUAGUUGGUAAGGUAACGGCUUACCAAGGCAACGAUGCGUAGCCGACCUGAGAGGGUGAUCGGCCACACUGGAACUGAGACACGGUCCAGACUCCUACGGGAGGCAGCAGUAGGGAAUCUUCCGCAAUGGGCGAAAGCCUGACGGAGCAACGCCGCGUGAGUGAUGAAGGUCUUCGGAUCGUAAAACUCUGUUAUUAGGGAAGAACAAAUGUGUAAGUAACUAUGCACGUCUUGACGGUACCUAAUCAGAAAGCCACGGCUAACUACG